ACUCAAAUGAAUUGACGGGAAUCAGCACAAGCGGUGGAGCAUGUGGUUUAAUUCGAUAAAACGCGCAAAACCUUACCAGUCCUUGACAGUUUAUUUAUCAUAUUUGUGAUAUUUUGUACACAUAUGUGUACAAACAAAUAAAAACAGGUGCUGCAUGGCUGUCGUCAGUUCGUGUUGUGAAAUGCUUGGUUAAGUCCUUUUAACGAACGCAACCCUCAUUCUUGUUGCUCUUUAUUAUUUUUUUUAAUAAAGCACUCUCGAAAAUUUAAGAUGAAAAUCUUAAGUAAGAGGAUGACGUCAAGUCCUCAUGGCCCUUAUGGACUGGGCUACACAUGUGCUACAAUGGCGUUUACAAAAGGAAGCAAUAAUAAAAAUUGGAGCAAAACCUUAAAAAACGUCUUAGUUCAGAUUGUUCUCUGCAACUCGAGAAUAUAAAGUUGGAAUCGCUAGUAAUCGUAGAUCAGCACGCUACGGUGAAUAUGUAAACUGGUUUUGCACACACCGCCCGU
rnacentral:rRNA from 1 species